CUGAGGCUUCCUCACCUAGUAGGAAACCAUUAGGGAACAUAGUGAGCCUGCAGAGGAGGCUUGGCAACACCCCGUUCUCCCCUGUCUCAGUGGAAUUCUUGGCCCUGGAGGCUCAUCUCCGGGCAAGCUUGCCGUCCUCCUAUGGGCAUCCUUCAGAACCGCCCACAUACCUAGGAAGUGGGCAGCUGCUGAGACAGGGACCUGCCUGCAGAGGGUCUGAGAGAGGAAGGGGCAUCUGUAGGAUGUGGAGUGGCCACCUCCCUUCCCUCCUCUGUAACUCUCAGAUGCUUUGAGGGAAACCUUGUAGCACGAAUAGUUGUGUCAGAUGCAUAUGCUUCUAGAAGCUUCCAUCCCAGAUAGGCCCGCAAUUGCCACUGAUCUGUGAGUGUGUGUGAGAGAGAAAGAGAGACAGAGAAAGAGACAGAGACUGAGACAGACAUAAUUUUUAUUUGUUUAUAAUAAUAGCAAUAGCUAAACUUAAAAGGUGUUUAUCAAGCUUUGGUCACGGUGCUAAGCACUUGAAAGGUUCCAUCUCAUUUAACUCCCACAACAAGACUUUGAGGGGUAGGUUCUUGGAGUAUUCUCAUUGUACAGAUCAAGGACUGAGUCUCAGAGAGGUUGAGUGACUUACCCAAGGUCAUACUGAGCAAGUGGAGUUGCUGGACCUCACAUUCUAGUAGGUCAAGCUGCAAAAGCCAAGUCUGCAAUCAUCAGGAUAAAUGGUUAGGGACUGGCAACAUUCACUCUAGAUGGUGCAUAAAUGUGCUGUGUGCCUACGUGUGUGUGUGUAUGUGUGUACACUCGGUUGCAAAGUAUAGAGAAAGUAGUGGUGAAGAACACAGAUUGGAGCCCGAUGGCAUGGGUCUGAAGUCCAGCUGUCACGUCUUGUCUCUGUCUCAGAUCUCUGUAGCUCAGAAAGUCGGGAUGAUCAUGUCCUGGUGCGCUUUUUGACCUGGCAGAUGGAAACUAUUGUUUAUUGUGAACUGAGUGCUUAUGGUUUUGUCUAUGGUGUGAGGUUGUGAUCCAAAUUCUCCAUGCUGUGAGUUCAUUUCUCCUUUUACUAAGUAAAUAAUCUGCACUUGCCCAUUCACUGGUGAUGAUAUCUCUCUUAAAUACCAAUAAAGUACAGAAUCUGGUUAGGGCACUGAUUGGAAUUAUAUUUUUUUAAUUUUUAUUUGUGGAGAUCUAACAUCUUUUUAUUGCCAAGCCAUUCCAUCCAGGAGCAUGUUUUAUUUUUUUAAGUAUGUAUGUAUGUAUGUAUUUAGAGCAUGAGCAGGAAGAACAGAGGGAAGGACAAGCUGACUCCAUGCUGAGUGUAGAGCCCAAUGUGGGGCCCAAUCCCGUGACUCCGAGAUCAUGACCUGAGCCAAAAUCAAGAGUCGGGUGCUCAACCAACUGAACCCCCACCUUAUGUCUGCUCCUUAAUUUAAAUCUUCCUUUCUGCCCUUGAAAAAUGUUUUCAUUUAUUUAUUUUUCUUCUUAGAAGACUUUUGUGCGCUUGAUACUUUCUAACUUGUUGUAGGUAAUACCCUAUCUUGCUACCACUUUCUAGGUGGUUAUUGUUAGUAUAAAGGCACUGAGUUAUUGACUUAUACUGUCUUAAAAGGAGCACAUUUGGGCACCCUGGGUGGCUCAGUGGUUUAGCGCCGCCUUUGGCCCAGGGUGUGAUCCUGGAGACCUGGGAUCGAGUCUCACGUCAGGCUUCCUCCAUGGAGCCUGCUUCUCCUUCUGCCUGUGUCUCUGCCCCUCUCUCUCUCUCCUCUGUGUAUUCUCAUGAAUAAAUAAAUAAAAUAUUUUUUAAAAAAAAAGUAGAAAAAAAAUAAAAAAUAAAAAUAAAAGGAGCACAUUUAAUGCUUUUCUACUGAGUAUGUCUUUUGCUAUAGUCUCUUUAUCAGAUGAUGGCUGUUUUCUACUAGUUCCAUAUUUUAAAAACAUAAAUAAAAAGAAAUUUUAGAUGUCCCUGCUAGAAAACAUUUUUUUCUACUUUCUACUGAGAUUGUCACAUAAUUAUUGUCCUUAACUUCAUGUGGUUAAUAAUAUUGAAUUUAUUCUAGUAUUAAAUAUUAUAUUCCUGCAAUACAUCCUGUAUGUUCACUUGUGUUUUUUAAAAAUACAUAUGUUGAAUUUAGCUGGCUAUGUUUCUUAGGAUACUCACAUCAAUAUUCUCAUGUAAACAACUUCUUUCUUCUUUCUCUUUUAUACUGUUCUCACAUGGUUCCCUCUGAGCCCGAUGAGAGGGUCUGGCUUUCCAAUUUGCUUUCAAAUUGCUACAAUCUGGGCCCCCAAGAGACGACGACCAUAUUUAA